UUGUACCGCUCCAAAGAUAUACCAUUAAUAAGCUGACAGAAAGCACAACAUGUAUACUUAUGGAAGUAAUGUCAACUACAACACAAGUCGUCUCAAGCAUGACGAGAAAGGGAAUACGGCCAGUGUCAGUAAGUUUAGGCAUUACAAUGAUGUUUGCAUGAAUGGAAUGUUAUAAUGCUGUAACGAUACUGAAGUCUCAUUUACUUCAGAAGG
rnacentral:lncRNA from 1 species